UACGGGGGGGGCAAGCGUUGUUCGGAAUUACUGGGCGUAAAGGGCGCGUAGGCGGCCUUCUAAGUCGAACGUGAAAUCCCCGGGCUCAACCCGGGAACUGCGUCCGAUACUGGGAGGCUUGAAUCCGGGAGAGGGAUGUGGAAUUCCAGGUGUAGCGGUGAAAUGCGUAGAGAUGUGGAGGAACACCAGUGGCGAAGGCGACUCUUUGGUCUGUAACUGACGCUGAGGCGCGAAAGCGUGGGGAGCAAACAGG
rnacentral:rRNA from 1 species